rnacentral:rRNA from 1 species
GACGAACGCUGGCGGCGUGCUUAACACAUGCAAGUCGGACGGAAAGGCCCUGCUUUUGUGGGGUGCUCGAGUGGCGAACGGGUGAGUAACACGUGAGUAACCUGCCCUUGACUUUGGGAUAACUUCAGGAAACUGGGGCUAAUACCGGAUAGGAGCUCCUGCUGCAUGGUGGGGGUUGGAAAGUUUCGGCGGUUGGGGAUGGACUCGCGGCUUAUCAGCUUGCUGGUGGGGUAGUGGCUUACCAAGGCUUUGACGGGUAGCCGGCCUGAGAGGGUGACCGGCCACAUUGGGACUGAGAUACGGCCCAGACUCCUACGGGAGGCAGCAGUGGGGAAUAUUGCACAAUGGGCGGAAGCCUGAUGCAGCAACGCCGCGUGCGGGAUGACGGCCUUCGGGUUGUAAACCGCUUUCGCCUGUGACGAAGCGUGAGUGACGGUAAUGGGUAAAGAAGCACCGGCUAACUACGUG